GCCCUUCGGGGUACACGAGCGGCGAACGGGUGAGUAACACGUGGGUAACCUGCCCUGUACUCUGGGAUAAGCCUUGGAAACGAGGUCUAAUACCGGAUACGACCAUGGGACGCAUGUCUUGUGGUGGAAAGUUCCGGCGGUAUGGGAUGGACCCGCGGCCUAUCAGCUUGUUGGUGGGGUAAUGGCCUACCAAGGCGACGACGGGUAGCCGGCCUGAGAGGGUGAUCGGCCACACUGGGACUGAGACACGGCCCAGACUCCUACGGGAGGCAGCAGUGGGGAAUAUUGCACAAUGGGCGAAAGCCUGAUGCAGCGACGCCGCGUGAGGGAUGACGGCCUUCGGGUUGUAAACCUCUUUCAGCAGGGACGAAGCGCAAGUGACGGUACCUGCAGAAGAAGCACCGGCUAACUACGUGCCAGCAGCCGCGGUAAUACGUAGGGUGCGAGCGUUGUCCGGAAUUAUUGGGCGUAAAGAGCUCGUAGGCGGUUUGUCGCGUCGGCCGUGAAAACUUGGGGCUUAACUCCAAGCUUGCGGUCGAUACGGGCAGACUUGAGUUCGGCAGGGGAGACUGGAAUUCCUGGUGUAGCGGUGAAAUGCGCAGAUAUCAGGAGGAACACCGGUGGCGAAGGCGGGUCUCUGGGCCGAUACUGACGCUGAGGAGCGAAAGCGUGGGGAGCGAACAGGAUUAGAUACCCUGGUAGUCCACGCCGUAAACGGUGGGUGCUAGGUGUGGGGGGCU
rnacentral:rRNA from 1 species